UUAUACAAGCUUUACAAAAGCGUUCGACAGAGUACCGCAAAAAAAACUUCUAAAUAAACUGAAAGCCUGUCGCAUUCGCAGUCAUAACUGAAUUAAAAAUUAGAUGACUAAUAAAAACUGAUUCAAAAUUAGAUGACUAAUAAAAAACAAAAAUAGAUGUUCAAAUGAAGAAAUUCACUUAGCGAAAGCUUCAGGGGGCUUUUUUUAAGAACCGCUUUUUUUUAUGCUCUACAUUAACGAUUACCAGACUUAAUUUUAAGUUGUAUAAAGAUGUAUGCAGACAACAGCAAGCUCAUUGGUGUUAUCAGAUCUGGUACAGAUGCAUUAUGUCUUCAAAAAGAUCUUGACACAUCUGUUAACUGGUCUAAAAAAUGGUUCAUGCCAUUUAAUAUUAAAAAGUUCAAAAUUAUGAACAUAGGCAAAAAAAAAACAACAGCAAAUAAACAAUAUCAUUUAUUUAAAAUGGAAUCAAAAAAUAAUAAUUUCAAACAACUCAAAAACACAGCAAAAGAGUGUGAUUUAGGGGUUGUAUUAUCCAAUAACCUUAAAGUAAACUUACAAGUUGAGCAUGCAGCUGCAGUUGGAAAUAAAGUUCAAGGAAAAUUUAAAAAAGGUUUAGAAGUUGUUGUUUAACUCUUUGACGUUUCCUGUAAUAUCUAUUAUUAUUACAUAUUUCUUAUAUUCGACCAUUAUUAAAAAUUGGCAUCCCAGCUUGGUCUCCUCAUUGCAUAGGAGAUAUAAAUACAAUUGAAAAAGUUCAGCAAUGAACCACAAAAUGGAAUAAGUCAAUAAAUCAACUAAAAUACGAGGAGAGUUUAACACGGUUUAAUUGGACUAUCCUUGAAACUUGCCGCAUGCGUAUUGAUCUUAUACAGCAAUACAAAAUAGUUAAUGGAAUUAAUUCAACCAAUUUUGUAGCACUACAAAUAACACCAGUUUAUCAAAUAUCUAAAUAUAGUAUAUCAAAGAUCUAAAUAUAAAACAAGGAAAAUUACGUCUUUCAUCGUGUUUCAAUAUUCAAAAAUAUUGAAACACGAUGAAAGGCGUAAUUUUUUUACUAAUCGGUAGUUAAAAACUGAAAUUCCUUAUUAACUAUCACAGAAAAUGCACCAUCGCUCAAAAGGUUCAAAGGUAGAAUUAAAUAGUACAAUAUAUUCACGUAAUUUGACUGGCGCAGCUAUAAUUACAAACGUUGUCAGAAAAGAGGAGCCCUUGUCUGCUUCAUUCCGUCAAUAAUUAGGACAUGGAUUUUAAACAAAUUGUUUAUAACGAACUGUUUUUAUUAUCUGCAAUUUUAUUUAAUUUUAAAUAAUAAUUAUUGAUAACUGAAUAAGUCUACAAAUGUAAAAUUUGCAAACAUAUUUCAGGAUUACCUACCAAAUAUCUUUACUCAAGAGGUCAUCAUUGCUCGGUUGUGACGUUCAACCUAUUUAUUUGCCUGCAAGUGAUUGGGAGAAAUAACUCUCUAAUCUACUCCUGUUAUUUAAAGUAGUUUUUUUGACCUCAGUCACUGGUUUCGGUAUAUAAUAUAGUGAGAUAUCACCACAUUAUCAUGUUGAAACAUCUUCACAUAAUCAUGUUAACCAAUAUCCUCGUACAAAAAUUAAGCAAUUUCUUAAGCUGAUCACAAUGUGCUAAUUAAAUUUUAUGUCAUCCCACUUAUACUUUUUUCACUCCCUACGUAGAUACCUAUUUUGUAAUUGAAAAUUUUUUUUUCAAUGAUAUUUAUUAAGGGGUGUUAAAUAAAUUGCUUUUUAUAGACACCCAGAUGCUAAAAUGGCGUGGUUUGUGUGCAGCAUGAAUUGUCUUGUUUACUCGGUUAACUUACCCAAGAUUGAUGGAGGUGAAAUGGGAUUAUUAGAUUUAUUAUUUUGUGCAGUUUUUAAGUUAGAAGCAAAUUUGUAUGAAAGAUUUAUGCAGGAAUUGAACAAGUGAGACAAAACGAACUUGUUUAAAAGUCUCAAAAACAUGUUACUGUAAACCAUAUCUAAAGUAACGUGCAACUGCUCUUUUGGCGCUGUACUAAUGGAAUGAACUGAUUAAAUAUUAUUAAAGGAAAAUUGGGCCUUUUUUUAAUUUUGUUGUAUUUGUGGUAUUGAUGAAGAGUGGGAAUCCUAAAAAUAUGUCAUCAACAUGUUUAAAUCACCUGAAUUAUAUUUUCAACCAAGGAACCAGAAAUGUACCGGGAUCAACAUAAUAAUUACAUUAGACAUUGUUUAAAAUGUCGAGAAGAAUCAAUAAAAGACUAUUUUUAACCUAAAACUUAUCAAUAUUAUUCUUGGAUUAUCUAUAAUUAACUUAUUUCUUUAUCUUGACUCAAGAACGUAAAUGUAAAUUUUAAAUGAGCAAUACCUGUAAGAUUUUUUGACGGGUUUUAAUGAGUUAAAGCUUUUGUGGAUCACUUGCAGAUGAACUCAAGAAGUGUUAACUUGACAACGAGUUUCAUAUGUAGAAGAAAUAUAGCAAAAAUUUCAUUAAACUAUGCUUGUUAGAUAUAAAAUAAAAAAAAAA